AGCUCGUAGGCGGUUUGUCGCGUCUGCCGUGAAAGUCCGGGGCUCAACUCCGGAUCUGCGGUGGGUACGGGCAGACUAGAGUGAUGUAGGGGAGACUGGAAUUCCUGGUGUAGCGGUGAAAUGCGCAGAUAUCAGGAGGAACACCGAUGGCGAAGGCAGGUCUCUGGGCAUUAACUGACGCUGAGGAGCGAAAGCAUGGGGAGCGAACAGGAUUAGAUACCCUGGUAGUCCAUGCCGUAAACGUUGGGCACUAGGUGUGGGGGACAUUCCACGUUUUCCGCGCCGUAGCUAACGCAUUAAGUGCCCCGCCUGGGGAGUACGGCCGCAAGGCUAAAACUCAAAGGAAUUGACGGGGGCCCGCACAAGCGGCGGAGCAUGCGGAUUAAUUCGAUGCAACGCGAAGAACCUUACCAAGGCUUGACAUGGGCCGGACCGGGCUGGAAACAGUCCUUCCCCUUUGGGGCCGGUUCACAGGUGGUGCAUGGUUGUCGUCAGCUCGUGUCGUGAGAUGUUGGGUUAAGUCCCGCAACGAGCGCAACCCUCGUUCCAUGUUGCCAGCGCGUAAUGGCGGGGACUCAUGGGAGACUGCCGGGGUCAACUCGGAGGAAGGUGGGGACGACGUCAAAUCAUCAUGCCCCUUAUGUCUUGGGCUUCACGCAUGCUACAAUGGCCGGUACAAAGGGUUGCGAUACUGUGAGGUGGAGCUAAUCCCAAAAAGCCGGUCUCAGUUCGGAUUGGGGUCUGCAACUCGACCCCAUGAAGUCGGAGUCGCUAGUAAUCGCAGAUCAGCAACGCUGCGGUGAAUACGUUCCCGGGCCUUGUACACACCGCCCGUCAAGUCACGAAAGUUGGUAACACCCGAAGCCGGUGGCCUAACCCCUUG
rnacentral:rRNA from 1 species